rnacentral:rRNA from 1 species
AUGAUGGCGCUGGCCAAGACGAUCGCGCUGCUGGUGUGCCUCCUAGGCACAGCGGGAGGCACAUCGGGGGCAAAUUGCAUCCCGCGGACGAGGUCGGCGACCUUCACGCCGCGCUCAGCCGCUAGUUUCUUUACUGCUCGCACACCGCCACCGACGGUCGACUGGCGUGCGCAUGGUGCUGUCACGCCGGUCAUGGACCAGGGAGUUCUCGGUUCCUGCUGGGCUAUCUCGACGGCGGGCGCCAUCGAGGGGCUGCACAAGAUCCGCUCCGGAAGACUUGUCCGCCUAUCGAGCCAGCAGAUAUACGACUGCUCCAACAAAAGCAUGAUCGAGUCGCACCUCAGGGCGUACGACUGGGUGCUCCUCAACGGAGGCGUCGCCUCCGAGGAGACGUACCCGUACGUGGACCGAGUCCAGGACUGCAAGCGGGAGAAGCUGCAUAUGAUCUCCGCGUCCAUCACAAGCUUCGUGUGGACCAUACGAACCGAGCAAGAGCUCCUGCACGCCGUCACUCAGCAGCCGGUGACCGUCAAGAUGUCGGUCGAGCCAGCAAGCUUCCUCAACUACACAGGAGGCAUCUUCUCGGGACCGUGCGGGCAUGCUGGCCACUCCAUGUUGGCAGUGGGUUAUGGCGUCCUCGCCGACGGCAGAAAAUACUGGAUCUUAAAAGGUUCUUACGGCGUUCAUUGGGGUGACCACGGCUACUUCUACGUGCAACGUGGACCUGGCCACGAUGCAGGCCUCUGCGGCAUUGCGAAUUACGCCGCACAUCCGGUCUAG